ensembl:lncRNA
AUGGAAACCAUGCUGGAGGGAAUGGACAUAUUUGACACUGCUCCAACUGAAGAUGUUAGUGAUCAAGUUAAAGAAAAUGCACAUGUGGGCACAUGUGUUGGCAUUGACUUACCUUCAAGUUCAGCAGUAGAUCAACAGACUAUCAACCAAUCAAAUGUCAGGGAGAAUCCAGAUGAAGAACCUCCCAAUGUGUGUUCUGUAACAGAACAAGGAAACAAGGAAAGAGAUGAGGACACAGAGUUGUUCUGGCUGGAUGGAAAUUUAAAGACCAACUAUUUGAUGAGUGAGUCUCAGAUGAAGUCAGAAGAUAAAGAGUCCUCUAUCAUGUUGGAGAUAAGCACAGAACAAGACAACCUCAGAGAGCAUACAGAAACUGAAUGCAGCGUUGAACAAGCAAUAUUUCCAUCACCAGAAGAGGAGUUGCCCACAAUUGAGGAACAAAAGGAGAUUUUCAUUUUAUCUGAAUUCAAAGAUGCUCAUCAGUCAGAGGAUGAUGAUAAUAAAGUGCAUGAACAGGAGGUUAAGUUAACAGAAAUUCAAGAAAUGUCUCACAUGUAUUUCUCAUCUGAACGUGGGACACAUGAUGCCACAGACAAUUCUGAAAUAAUUUCUGGUGACCUGACAGACCAAACUGAAAUCAGAGACACAUACCAAUCUGAGUUGGUUGUGAAAAGAACUGAUGAUGCUCCUACCAAUCAGGACAUUUUGAAUCCUGAUGACAAACAGGAUGAACAUCCUACAAAACAAAGCAACUUUGAGGAUUCAGAGCAGAAAGAUGAGGAUUAUCAUGUUUCUGAUACCAAGGAACCACAGGUCAGUGACAUUGAAAGAGUAGACUCUGCACUGGGUCAGGUGUACGAGAUUGAAGGCAGAGUAGAGUAUGAUAUACAACCCAGUGCUGAACAAACAGGUCAUCAGGAUAAGGAAGGACUCUUAUCUGAAAUGGAGGAGAGUGAAUCCCAACCUCAGCAAAACAUCGGCUUCAACCCCAUUGGGAACAGAAGAAAACUGGGGUCUAGCCGCAGAAAUAAAGGAAGACAACAUGUCAAGGACUCUGCUGCUGAAUCAUACCACAAACCUACAGAGGAAGUUGUUAGUAAUACCAGGGAUAAUGAACCACUUGAAACAACAGAAAUGUCAUUAACAAAAGAGACAUCAGUGCAGGAACAAUCAAUGGAAACCAUGCUGGAGGGAAUGGACAUAUUUGUGACUGCUCCGACUGAAGAUGUUGAGGAACAAAAUGAGAUUUUUAAUUUGUCUGAAGUCACAGAUGCUCAUCAGUCAGAGGAUGAUUUAAAUAAAGUGCAUGAACAGGAGGUUAAGUUAACAGAAAUUCAAGAAAUGUCUCACAUGUAUUUCUCAUCUGAACGUGUGACACAUGAUGCCACAGACAAUUCUGAAAAUAUUUCUGGUGACCUGACUAUAACUACAAAAGAAAGCAACGUUGAAGAUUUAGAGCAGAAAGAUGAGGAUUAUCAUGUUUCUGAUACCAAGGAACCACAAAUCAGUGACAUUGAAAAAGUAGACUCUGCACUGGGUCAGGUGUACGAGAUUGAAGGCAGAGUACAGUAUGAUAUACAACCCAGUGCUGAACAAACAGGUCAUCAGGAGAAGGAAGGACUCUUCUCUGAAAUGGAGGAGAGUGAAUCCCAACCUCAGCAAAACAUCGGCUUCAACCCCAUUGGGAACAGAAGAAAACUGGGGUCUAGCCGCAGAAAUAAAGGAAGACAACAUGUCAAGGACUCUGCUGCUGAAUCAUACCACAAACCUACAGAGGAAGUUGUUAGUAAUACCAGGGAUAAUGAACCACUUGAAACAACAGAAGGAUCAUUCACAAAAGAGACAUCAGUGCAGGAACAAUUAAUGGAAACCAUGCUGGAGGGAAUGGACAUAUUUGACACUGCUCCGACUGAAGAUGUUAGUGAUCAAGUUAAAGAAAAUGCACACGUGGGCACAUGUGUUGGCAUUGACUUACCUUCAAGUUCAGCAGUAGAUCAACAGACUAUCAACCAAUCAAAUGUCAGGGAGAAUCCAGAUGAAGAACCUCCCAAUGUGUGUUCUGUAACAGAACAAGGAAACAAGGAAAGAGAUGAGGACACAGAGUUGUUCUGGCUGGAUGGAAAUUUAAAGACCAACUAUUUGAUGAGUGAGUCUCAGAUGAAGUCAGAAGAUAAAGAGUCCUCUAUCAUGUUGGAGAUAAGCACAGAACAAGACAACCUCAGAGAGCAUACAGAAGGUGAAUGCAGCGUUGAACAAGCAAUAUUUCCAUCACCAGAAGAGGAGUUGCCCACAAUUGAGGAACAAAAGGAGAUUUUCAUUUUAUCUGAAUUCAAAGAUGCUCAUCAGUCAGAGGAUGAUGAUAAUAAAGUGCAUGAACAGGAGGUUAAGUUAACAGAAAUUCAAGAAAUGUCUCACAUGUAUUUCUCAUCUGAACGUGGGACACAUGAUGCCACAGACAAUUCUGAAAUAAUUUCUGGUGACCUGACAGACCAAACUGAAAUCAGAGACACAUACCAAUCUGAGUUGGUUGUGAAAAGAACUGAUGAUGCUCCUACCAAUCAGGACAUUUUGAAUCCUGAUGACAAACAGGAUGAACAUCCUACAAAACAAAGCAACUUUGAGGAUUCAGAGCAGAAAGAUGAGGAUUAUCAUGUUUCUGAUACCAAGGAACCACAGGUCAGUGACAUUGAAAGAGUAGACUCUGCACUGGGUCAGGUGUACGAGAUUGAAGGCAGAGUAGAGUAUGAUAUACAACCCAGUGCUGAACAAACAGGUCAUCAGGAGAAGGAAGGACUCUUAUCUGAAAUGGAGGAGAGUGAAUCCCAACCUCAGCAAAACAUCGGCUUCAACCCCAUUGGGAACAGAAGAAAACUGGGGUCUAGCCGAAGAAAUAAAGGAAGACAACAUGUCAAGGACUCUGCUGCUGAAUCAUACCACAAACCUACAGAGGAAGUUGUUAGUAAUACCAGGGAUAAUGAACCACUUGAAACAACAGAAAUGUCAUUAACAAAAGAGACAUCAGUGAAGGAACAAUCAAUGGAAACCAUGCUGGAGGGAAUGGACAUAUUUGUGACUGCUCCGACUGAAGAUGUUGAGGAACAAAAUGAGAUUUUUAAUUUGUCUGAAGUCACAGAUGCUCAUCAGUCAGAGGAUGAUGUAAAUAAAGUGCAUGAACAGGAGGUUAAGUUAACAGAAAUUCAAGAAAUGUCUCACAUGUAUUUCUCAUCUGAACGUGUGACACAUGAUGCCACAGACAAUUCUGAAAAUAUUUCUGGUGACCUGACUAUAACUACAAAAGAAAGCAACGUUGAAGAUUUAGAGCAGAAAGAUGAGGAUUAUCAUGUUUCUGAUACCAAGGAACCACAAGUCAGUGACAUUGAAAGUGUAGACUCUGCACUGGGUCAGGUGUACGAGAUUGAAGGCAGAGUAGAGUAUGAUAUACAACCCAGUGCUGAACAAACAGGUCAUCAGGAGAAGGAAGGACUCUUCUCUGAAAUGGAGGAGAGUGAAUCCCAACCUCAACAAAACAUCGGCUUCAACCCCAUUGGGAACAGAAGAAAACUGGGGUCUAGCCGCAGAAAUAAAGGAAGACACCAUGUCAAGGACUCUGCUGCUGAAUCAUACCACGAACCUACAGAGGAAGUUGUUGGAAAUACCAGGGAUAAUGAACCACUUGAAACAACAGAAGGAUCAUUAACAAAAGAGACAUCAGUGCAGGAACAAUCAAUGGAAACCAUGCUGGAGGGAAUGGACAUAUUUGACACUGCUCCAACUGAAGAUGUUAGUGAUCAAGUUAAAGAAAAUGCACAUGUGGGCACAUGUGUUGGCAUUGACUUACAUUCAAGUUCAGCAGUAGAUCAACAGACUAUCAACCAAUCAAAUGUCAGGGAGAAUCCAGAUGAAGAACCUCCCAAUGUGUGUUCUGUAACAGAACAAGGAAACAAGGAAAGAGAUGAGGACACAGAGUUGUUCUGGCUGGAUGGAAAUUUAAAGACCAACUAUUUGAUGAGUGAGUCUCAGAUGAAGUCAGAAGAUAAAGAGUCCUCUAUCAUGUUGGAGAUAAGCACAGAACAAGACAACCUCAGAGAGCAUACAGAAGGUGAAUGCAGCGUUGAACAAGCAAUAUUUCCAUCACCAGAAGAGGAGUUGCCCACAAUUGAGGAACAAAAGGAGAUUUUCAUUUUAUCUGAAUUCAAAGAUGCUCAUCAGUCAGAGGAUGAUGUAAAUAAAGUGCAUGAACAGGAGGUUAAGUUAACAGAAAUUCAAGAAAUGUCUCACAUGUAUUUCUCAUCUGAACGUGGGACACAUGAUGCCACAGACAAUUCUGAAAUAAUUUCUGGUGACCUGACAGACCAAACUGAAAUCAGAGACACAUACCAAUCUGAGUUGGUUGUGAAAAGAACUGAUGAUGCUCCUACCAAUCAGGACAUUUUGAAUCCUGAUGACAAACAGGAUGAACAUCCUACAAAACAAAGCAACUUUGAGGAUUCAGAGCAGAAAGAUGAGGAUUAUCAUGUUUCUGAUACCAAGGAACCACAGGUCAGUGACAUUGAAAGAGUAGACUCUGCACUGGGUCAGGUGUACGAGAUUGAAGGCAGAGUAGAGUAUGAUAUACAACCCAGUGCUGAACAAACAGGUCAUCAGGAGAAGGAAGGACUCUUAUCUGAAAUGGAGGAGAGUGAAUCCCAACCUCAGCAAAACAUCGGCUUCAACCCCAUUGGGAACAGAAGAAAACUGGGGUCUAGCCGCAGAAAUAAAGGAAGACAACAUGUCAAGGACUCUGCUGCUGAAUCAUACCACAAACCUACAGAGGAAGUUGUUAGUAAUACCAGGGAUAAUGAACCACUUGAAACAACAGAAAUGUCAUUAACAAAAGAGACAUCAGUGAAGGAACAAUCAAUGGAAACCAUGCUGGAGGGAAUGGACAUAUUUGUGACUGCUCCGACUGAAGAUGUUGAGGAACAAAAUGAGAUUUUUAAUUUGUCUGAAGUCACAGAUGCUCAUCAGUCAGAGGAUGAUGUAAAUAAAGUGCAUGAACAGGAGGUUAAGUUAACAGAAAUUCAAGAAAUGUCUCACAUGUAUUUCUCAUCUGAACGUGUGACACAUGAUGCCACAGACAAUUCUGAAAAUAUUUCUGGUGACCUGACUAUAACUACAAAAGAAAGCAACGUUGAAGAUUUAGAGCAGAAAGAUGAGGAUUAUCAUGUUUCUGAUACCAAGGAACCACAAGUCAGUGACAUUGAAAGUGUAGACUCUGCACUGGGUCAGGUGUACGAGAUUGAAGGCAGAGUAGAGUAUGAUAUACAACCCAGUGCUGAACAAACAGGUCAUCAGGAGAAGGAAGGACUCUUCUCUGAAAUGGAGGAGAGUGAAUCCCAACCUCAACAAAACAUCGGCUUCAACCCCAUUGGGAACAGAAGAAAACUGGGGUCUAGCCGCAGAAAUAAAGGAAGACACCAUGUCAAGGACUCUGCUGCUGAAUCAUACCACAAACCUACAGAGGAAGUUGUUAGUAAUACCAGGGAUAAUGAACCACUUGAAACAACAGAAGGAUCAUUCACAAAAGAGACAUCAGUGCAGGAACAAUUAAUGGAAACCAUGCUGGAGGGAAUGGACAUAUUUGACACUGCUCCAACUGAAGAUGUUAGUGAUCAAGUUAAAGAAAAUGCACAUGUGGGCACAUGUGUUGGCAUUGACUUACCUUCAAGUUCAGCAGUAGAUCAACAGACUAUCAACCAAUCAAAUGUCAGGGAGAAUCCAGAUGAAGAACCUCCCAAUGUGUGUUCUGUAACAGAACAAGGAAACAAGGAAAGAGAUGAGGACACAGAGUUGUUCUGGCAGGAUGGAAAUUUAAAGACCAACUAUUUGAUGAGUGAGUCUCAGAUGAAGUCAGAAGAUAAAGAGUCCUCUAUCACGUUGGAGAUAAGCACAGAACAAGACAACCUCAGAGAGCAUACAGAAACUGAAUGCAGCGUUGAACAAGCAAUAUUUCCAUCACCAGAAGAGGAGUUGCCCACAAUUGAGGAACAAAAGGAGAUUUUCAUUUAUCUGAAUUCAAAGAUGCUCAUCAGUCAGAGGAUGAUGAUAAUAAAGUGCAUGAACAGGAGGUUAAGUUAA